GGCCAGGUGGCAGAGUGGCUAUGCAGCGGACUGCAAAUCCGUGGACGCCGGUUCAAUUCCGGCCCUGGCCUCCA
rnacentral:tRNA from 1 species